UGAGUGGCGGACGGGUGAGUAACGCGUGGGUAACCUGCCUCACACAGGGGGAUAGCAGUUGGAAAUGACUGCUAAUACCGCAUAAGACCACAGCACCGCAUGGUGCAGGGGUAAAAACUCCGGUGGUAUGAGAUGGACCCGCGUCUGAUUAGCUAGUUGGUAAGGUAACGGCUUACCAAGGCGACGAUCAGUAGCCGACCUGAGAGGGUGACCGGCCACAUUGGGACUGAGACACGGCCCAAACUCCUACGGGAGGCAGCAGUGGGGAAUAUUGCACAAUGGGGGAAACCCUGAUGCAGCGACGCCGCGUGAGCGAAGAAGUAUCUCGGUAUGUAAACUUCUAUCAGCAGGGAAGAUAGUGACGGUACCUGACUAAGAAGCCCCGGCUAACUACGUGCCAGCAGCCGCGGUAAUACGUAGGGGGCAAGCGUUAUCCGGAUUUACUGGGUGUAAAGGGAGCGUAGACGGUGUGGCAAGUCUGAUGUGAAAGGCAUGGGCUCAACCUGUGGACUGCAUUGGAAACUGUCAUACUUGAGUGCCGGAGGGGUAAGCGGAAUUCCUAGUGUAGCGGUGAAAUGCGUAGAUAUUAGGAGGAACACCAGUGGCGAAGGCGG
rnacentral:rRNA from 1 species